UGCAAUUAGUUUAAGUAGAAUGUUUGUUUUUGGUACAAUUGGUUAUUUGCAU
rnacentral:tRNA from 1 species